AGUGAACGCUGGCGGCAGGCCUAACACAUGCAAGUCGAACGGUAACACGAUAAAACUUGCUUCUUUCCUGACGCGUGUCGGACGGGUGAGUGAAGUCCGUCGAACUCUCUGAUUUCGUGGGAUAACUCCUGGAAACGGUAGCGAAAACCGCGUAACGUCGCUAGACCAAAGAGGGGGACAUUCUCGCCUCUUGCGAGCGUGAGUGCCCAGAUGGGAUUAGCUAGUAGGUGGGGUAAAGGCUCACCCAGGCGACGAUCCCUAGCUGGUCUGAGAGGAUGACCAGCCACACUGGAACUGAGACACGGUCCAGACUCCUACGGGAGGCAGCAGUGGGGAAUAUUGGACAAUGGGCGCAAGCCUGAUGCAGCCAUGCCGCGUGUGUGAAGAAGGCCUUCGGGUUGUAAAGCCCUUUUGUCGGGGAAGAAAAGCAGAAGGUUAAUACCCCGCUGUUCUGACGUUACCCAAAGAAGAAGCACCGGCUAACUUCGUG
rnacentral:rRNA from 1 species